GAGCCAGACUCCUACGGGAGGCAGCAGUGGGGAAUAUUGCACAAUGGGGGGAACCCUGAUGCAGCGACGCCGCGUGGGUGAAGGAGCACCUCGGUGCGUAAAGCCCUAUCGGCAGGGAAGAAAAGCGAACAGGUUCGCCUGGACGGUACCUGACUAAGAAGCCCCGGCUAACUACGUGCCAGCAGCCGCGGUAAUACGUAGGGGGCAAGCGUUAUCCGGAUUCACUGGGUGUAAAGGGAGCGUAGACGGCGACGCAAGUCUGGAGUGAAAGCCCGGGGCCCAACCCCGGGACUGCUCUGGAAACUGCGUCGCUGGAGUACGGGAGAGGCAGGCGGAAUUCCCGGUGUAGCGGUGGAAUGCGUAGAUAUCGGGAGGAACACCAGUGGCGAAGGCGGCCUGCUGGACAUUAACUGACGCUGAGGCGCGAAAGCGUGGGGAGCAAACAGGAUUAGAUACCCGCGUACCC
rnacentral:rRNA from 1 species